AUGAGCUUCAUGGCAUCCGUAGCUCUAAUUGUCCUCCUUGUGAACCCGAAUCUAUACAGGCCAGGCAUACGGUGCUAUGCACUCUAUGUUUGCAUGGUGGCAGGUAUGUUUGGGCUCAUGGGCGCCUAUGCUGCUGGAAGCUCCCGCCACCUACGAACUUCCAUCUAUGUGUUAACAUUGGUUGCUGCAGUGUUUGCAUUUGUAAUUUUGCUGGUCAUUUACUUCUGGAAACAAUCCCAGAAAAAAAAGAUCUCCAAACAAGACGGCAACGGCAGCGAUGUGUCCCAUGAUCAAGGGCCCUCCGGGCAAGGAGUCAGCACUAUUCACCCUUCUCAAAGAAGAUACCCCAGCGCAGAUAUUGAAUCCACUAGAUCAAGAGAGGAGGACAACCGCCUCAAAGAAAAAGAUGAGAAGGAACCCCAAGAUGUAGAGGACAGCCCUGACGAGAAAAGAAACAAGGACCUUCGGGAGUACUUGAUGCUGGUAGGAGUCUUGGCCGCAAGUGUGACAUAUCAAAGUGGCCUAAAACCUCCAGGUGGCCUCUGGCAAGACAACAACAAUGGGCACUCCGCAGGCAACUCAAUCCUCCACGACAUCAACAGAAGCCGGUACCAAGCUUUCUUCUAUAGCAACUCCACUUCAUUUAUAGCUUCUAUUGUGGUCGUGGUCUUGCUUCUUCCAAAGACGCUGCAUGGCCACAAGUUGCUACUCUGGCCAAUGCACACGGCCAUUCUGCUGAACAUGCUCGGCCUCCUGGGUGCCUAUGCAGCAGGAAGCACAAGGGAGUGGGAG
rnacentral:rRNA from 1 species